CCACAGCUCCUGGGCAGCGCCACCACCCUGUGAGUCCAAGGGGGCCAGUCCCGGUGCCUGGUCUGUGGCACUGACAGCCCCCCUCCAGCUGAGAUGAGCUGGGCACAGGGCAACCUCGCUUUGAGCCCCCCACAGACCUUGGAUGCUGGGGUGCUGGAGCUGUCCCAGGUGGCUGCAGAGGAUGGCGGAGAUUUCACCUGCUGGGCUCCUGCCACGUCUCCCUGCGCCUGGCUGCCCAGGGUGAGCAUGAGAUGGGCCCCCUUGCAGGGUGAGCCGCAGACCUGGGGGAGCCAUACCCAUCCUCCCCCUUCCCCUCCCCCAGGUACUUCCUGUUCCUGCACCCAAAUCUGUGGGGAACAGCAAGGGUGCUGGUCCCUAGUCCUCACCCUGCUCAGGGGAACCCUCAUGGGGGCCAGCUUCAUUCUCACCUACGGCUCACCUGGAUCUACUACACCAGGUGUGAGGACUCCUGAGUGCACAGAGCCUCUCAGCACAGGGGGGCUGAGGUCCAGGCUGCAGCUCUCUGACAGGCAAGGGUGUGUGAGAGAGAAAAGAGAGGGAAGGAGGGAAGAAAAAGACAGGGUCUGGCUAAGUUGCCAAAUUGCCCUGCCUCAGCCUCCCGGAGUACUGGGCUUGCAGGCCUGCGUCACCAUGCCUUGCUUGGCUCCUCAACUUAGCCUCUCAUAAGGGGAACUACACUUCAGCACGAGCCUCAGAGGGGAUAAAGCAAACCACGCCAUGCUGCUGUCACGAAGGCCAUAGCCUGGAUUUCUUAAACGACAAACACGUGACUCUCAGCAUUUUGGAUGCUGGAAGUCAGAGACCAGGGUCUCAGUGCAGUCAGGACCUUCACGAGGCCCCUCCUGGCUGCAGACAGCUGCCUUCUGCUGCACCCCGCUCACCCCACAGCUCGGCAGAAUCUGAGCGCACUCAGCGGAGAAGGCGGGAGUGAGGCUUACCUGGAAGGACUGCCGUGGCCACCGCUGUCCUCUGGGGUCCUGUGCCACCAAAGUGGGAGGGACGCCUGGCCUGAGAAGCAUCUAGAAAGUGAGAGUGGCAGGAGGUGGUCUGCUCACAAUAGAGGGAGGUGGAACGUUCUGAGGAGGCCAGAGAAGCCACAGACAUCUCAGACGCACGUGGGGAGGGAAAGGGGAUCUUGCUUUAUAAGAUUCGGAAAGGCGCGUGUGAGGCGGCGGCUUCGGAGUGAAAUGCAGCCGGAAGGGGCCUCCGGGAGCAGAGCCUCCCUGGAAGAGCACGGGGGGUCACGUUCCUGAAGAGGGGCAGAGGCGGCCUGCGCGCGGGGACACGGGCGAGUUAGCAGAGGCCAACGGGGCGCGUCCGUUAGAGCCUUGCAGGUGCAGCGAGCAGCUCGACUGUUCUUCUAAAUAAAAUGAGAGGUCAUGGAAAUGCUUGAGUGAAAAAGCGCCUUGGGCUGAUGCACAUUGCAAAAGUGACUCUAGCUGCUGUGUUGAAAAGCCAAAGGGGGCCAGCAGGGGGCAUCAUCACUCACUCAUUCAGCUGCGUGAGGGUGGUGGCCUGGAGACAACAGGCAACAGAAAUACCUACAGGCAUUGUUAAUUGUCACCAUCGGGACGGGAGGGGAUGCUACUGCAUCUAGUGACCCCAGGUUGGGGUGCUGCUCAGCAUCAAGGGUGCACCGGGAGCCCCCACUCUAGAAGUGCCUGAGUCAGAUGUCACGAGUGUGAAGCUCAGCAACCCCGCUCAAAGGCCAUGGCAGCAGAUGUGGGGACUCAUGGGUGAAUAUUUUUUUAGUGUCACAUGAUAAGUGCAUAGACUCCUGCGAUGGAGUGGGAUCGUUCAGUGCACAUAUACAAUGUGGAAUGAUCAAAACAGGAUAAUGAGUGUCUCCAGAUCCUUAUCAUUUCUUCUUUUCUGGAGCUUUUGAGCUUCUCUUCUACUUUGUCAUAAAAUAUACAACAGCUUGUUGUUGUAGAACACUAGAACUUACUUCUGUUUAAUAUGUGUUGGUAUCCAGUAUCCCAACCCUCUGUCCCCUCUCCUGCCUACCCUUCCUACUCUCUCAGAAUCACUCCUCUACUCUUUUGUACAUGAUCAACAUUUUUUACCUUCCACACAUAAGUGAGAACAUGCAGUAUUUUUCUUUUUCUGGUUCAUUUCACUAAACAUCAUGUCCUCUAGUUCCAUUCAUUUUGGCACAAGUUACAGGAUUUCAAUUUUUUGUGGCUGAACAGAAUCCCACUGCAUACAUACACCGCAUUUCCGUUAUCCAUUCAUCCAUUUACAAGCAUCCAGUUUAAUUCAAUAUCUUGGCUACUGUGAAUAGUACUGUGGAAACACGGGAGUGUAAGACGCUGAUUCCAUCAUGUACUUUGGAUAUACACCCAGAAGAGGGUGACUGACUCACACGGCAGGUUUUUAUUUAGUGGCGAGGCGAGGAGACUUCUAUACUGUUUGUCGUAAUGUCUGCUCCAUCAAAUUUGAACACUUUGUAAGUUGAACUGAUAGAAAUGUAGAUGUGUUGUAGAUGGAAAUGAGCCAAAAGGAGACAUCAGAAGAUGCACAAAUUAUGCAGAUGUGGACACGUCACAGUACUGAUGUUCAGAAGUCUGAAAAGGAGUUUGCCAUGGUAACUAUCGAGUGAUACAUGAGAUACUCAUUCUCUACCUCCCUGAGUAGGUGUCAAAUGAGCAGCGAACAGUCAGGGUUGAAAAGAAAUUUUAUGAGCCAACAGCAUGCUUCUUUGUCGUUGUGUGUUUUGUG
ensembl:lncRNA